UGGGUGGAAACAUGGAACUCUAAGCUGCC
rnacentral:piRNA from 1 species